CGCAGCUACAGACAUUUUUUUGCCUACAGAGGGCGGCACAACCAGUUUGGUGGCACGACGCUCCCGCCGCCUUCUCGUCUCCUCUGCCCCGUUUCUUUCUCUUUUUUUCUCUCUUCAAUCCUCUGACUCGUCGUCGUCAGGCAACAAAAGGCCCUCGCCUGCCAGCCACUCGAUCACGGCAUGUUUCAACGUGUCUUGGAUCGCCCGUUCUGGUUCGGCCGCGGGCAAAGGCGACGCCUCUGGCGUCGGGAUCCAUCCCGGAAAGACCCGAGAGGCACGCACAGGCUUGGCGCGACACCAGCGCCUCAACGGCGCCAGCGCAGCCAAAAGGCGCUCGUCGUAACACGGUCCUUGGUCGUCGUUGACACGCCUGCGUUCUGAGGCCGUCGCGUCGCCGCCAUGUCUCCACAAUGGAUGUCCGACGCAUCGGCACGGCGUGGCGAUCUCGCGAUUGUAGGACGCGUCAAAGAGCGCAACAUCGCCGGCACGCGGCCUGACGCCAUCGGUCAGGGCCUUGGCGAUGCGCAUCGCCGCCAACAUCGGCGUAAACGCAAAGUGCGAGUCUUGAGCACACAGCGUCGCGAGUGCGCCCCACAGAUCGAGACCCUCUAGGAGAUCAUCGCCGCACGGCGCCAAUCUAGUGCGCUGGUCGAUGAGAUGCAGGAGCCGCCCGAGGCUGUCGAGAUCGCGCUCGGCGACGCAUCGUCGAAAGACAAGGGAAAUACGGUCGGCGCUCUCAAAGAAUCCUCGCGGCCAGUGCUCGAUGAGACAGAGGACCAGAGGCAGCGGACUCUGUUGGGCGAGCAAGUACCCAUCGGCGUCGCUCGCGUCUUCGACCGAAAACGGACACACGGGACGCGGACACAUCAAACACAACCACGACACCACGCGCACCGCCUUGGCAGGACGCUUUUCGCCGCGCAGGGCGCUCCUGAUCGCUCUGGGGACGUCGGGCCGAUGGCGACGCGGGUCGCGCACCGUGGCGUACGCCCACAGCCAUUGGAGCGUGUUCAGGCGUCGCGCAAAGGCCGCGGCGCAAAAGGCCGCAUCAAUGUCAAAGGGCAUGUCGCGCGCUUGGAGCAAAGCCAAGAAGCGCCACCGACAGUCCAUCAUCGCCAGGGCAAACCACGUCGACUCGUGGCGCCCUGAUGGCUCGCCCGUGUGAGCGGGUGGCGGAGGCAUGAUCAGACCCGCGGCGGCCACGUCCAACAGACGCGCAAAGCACUUGUGAUGGGGUCCCGCGCAGGCGUGCAGCCAACUCACCUUGCUCGGGGGCCGCCCCCGCGCGGCCAACGCAGCCAUUUCGUCCCCGCGUCCGCCUGCGCAGAGCGCGUCGCCGAUCAAACACGACACACCGCGCCGCACCAUAACGCUCUCUAGCGUGGCGAUGGACGCACGCGUGAUGGCCACGUGCCAGAGCACGUCGACAAAGGCGCUGAGCGUUCCCUGGUCAUCGUCCCAUCCGAUUGCCCAUGUAUUGGGUGCGCGGUAGACGCCCACGCGCGUGAUCGACGGCGUCCGUGUGCCAAACGAAUAGGCCAUCUCCAGGGCAGCGGUGGCCACCCACGUGACGCCGGACGCCACCAUGGCGGCUGCCGUCUGUUUGCGUGUGGCUCCGGCCUCGUGUGCGCACCAGGCAUAGACCGCCUCGGCACUAUCCCAUCGCCCGGCAGCGAUCGAGUCGGCCACGACCGAUGCGCACACCACGCGCCCCGACGGCCAUUUGGGACAUGCGCUGGGCGGCGCGGGAUGUCCGGCAAUGGGCCAGUUGUGCGGAUGGCGGCCGAUGGCGGCGGUCUCGACGCCGUUUGGCCGUGUGACGAUGUCGUGCCAUAGACGACACACGGCGCGUGCCGCGAACCGCCAGCGCGGAUCGAGAAAAGGGCGGCCGCGACGCGGUACGUGGUCCACCCGCCACGACGGUCGCGCGGCGGCUGUCGCUGCGCCGUUGAGGAUCAUGCGCAACAGUUCGGGCGGGAGCCAAUCGUGUAUGCUUGCGUCUGGCUGCGGUGCCAUCGACAUUUUCACACGUCCCCUAAAGCCUCUGGUGCGGCCGUGUGCGUGUCGUGCCUCGGCCUUUUUUUCGCCUUGUGUUUGCGCCCCUCUCUUUUCCUAUGUGUGUCGUUGUCUCUCUCUCUUUUGUUCGUUUGUUGUGGCUUUUCUCGUGCUUGUGUGUUGUUGGAGGCCGUUUGCUGGCUCGGCCUGCUUGUCGCGCCCUGAGUCCUGCGACCCGCCAGGCAGCACUCUGACUUGAGCGAAUCGGCCGUUCCGAUUUUUUUUAUUGGCGACAGGAUCAUAGCACAAGAUUG
rnacentral:lncRNA from 1 species